rnacentral:lncRNA from 1 species
CUUUAAAAGAGAUAGUUUGUACUUUUUGUGAUGUAUUAUUUGAUAUGCCUUAAUUUGAAUUGAACUACACUUCUAAAAAUCUGACAGCCAUGUUUCUAUUGUAAAAGUAUUUCGAUAGUCAGGUCAACAGUUGUUGACUCUUGUUGUUGCAGGUUUGUAAAAGUAUAUUAAAUUGUGUAUUUUCUAAAAUCUUGAUCAAAGUUUGAUAACUCUAUUUGACUUACAUGUUUCAACCUGUUGUGACAGAACAGUAUUUUUCGUACAAACAGGGAUGGCGUUUUUUUCUAUAUUUCUUGGAUCACAAAGACGAUUUUGCUUAUCUAUUGUUUGGUUGUUAUAUAUGUAUUCAGGCUUAGCGUUAGUAUAUAUAUAUAUAUAACACAGAGGUAAUCUAUUCGAACUGCCCUUCCCAGGAAAUAUUUCGUCAGCAUUAAAAAAAUGAACAGAUAUAUAU